GCCUGGAUAGUUUAGCUGGUUAGAGUGUGGAGCUGAUAAUGCCAAGGUUGCAGGUUCGACAGCUGCAUAUUCCUGCAUUGCAAGGGGUGGGACA